rnacentral:rRNA from 2 species
GUAGUCCACGCCGUAAACGAUGUCGACUUGGAGGUUGUGCCCUUGAGGCGUGGCUUCCGGAGCUAACGCGUUAAGUCGACCGCCUGGGGAGUACGGCCGCAAGGUUAAAACUCAAAUGAAUUGACGGGGGCCCGCACAAGCGGUGGAGCAUGUGGUUUAAUUCGAUGCAACGCGAAGAACCUUACCUGGCCUUGACAUCCACGGAAUUUGGCAGAGAUGCCUUAGUGCCUUCGGGAACCGUGAGACAGGUGCUGCAUGGCUGUCGUCAGCUCGUGUUGUGAAAUGUUGGGUUAAGUCCCGCAACGAGCGCAACCCUUAUCCUUUGUUGCCAGCGAUUCGGUCGGGAACUCAAAGGAGACUGCCGGUGAUAAACCGGAGGAAGGUGGGGAUGACGUCAAGUCAUCAUGGCCCUUACGGCCAGGGCUACACACGUGCUACAAUGGCGCAUACAAAGAGAAGCGACCUCGCGAGAGCAAGCGGACCUCAUAAAGUGCGUCGUAGUCCGGAUUGGAGUCUGCAACUCGACUCCAUGAAGUCGGAAUCGCUAGUAAUCGUAGAUCAGAAUGCUACGGUGAAUA